GACCCGCAGAUCAAGCAAGUUGUUGGCGUGGCGACUUGGUGGAGGCGUCAUCAUUGACGUCUGAUCUGUGGAAUUAUUUCGAAAGCUUCCUUUCCUUAUUUUCUUGUGGUUUUUGUUCCAUUCUCUUUGUGCGGUUGCUGAAUUUGAAGUUGGCGGUGCUGUUACGAUUUCUUUUGUCUACGAUGGGACACCAGUGUGAAGCGGCUCAGGAAUCAUUUCACUUGCAAUGGCGGUUGUUGAAAGGCAUGGUGCGGUGUGUUGGAGUGCUUCGUGCUACAGCAACAAUCUUCGUGCUGGGAAGCGCAUUGCAUUGGUUGAUAACACAACGAGGUUCCUUGAUCCACCUGUAAAUCGGUGAACUCAGAACAAGCUAAUGCAAUGUUCCCAUCUUCACAAUUAGAGUUGGGCAUAAAGUGGAGCUAUAGAAUUCAAGUUGAAGAAGGCAGUUCGUGGUUAUUGUUUGCACAGUGAAAAAAAUUUGGUUAUUCCGUGCCUUCAACGACGCUGUGCGUGCUACAGCUCGGGUGUCUGAUCGUGGGAAGAGCCUGCAGAUUAUAGUGGCGGCUCAUCCAGUAAUCAGGUGAGCAAGCAGGUGAGCAACCUGAGGUGGUGGAGCUCGACUCACAGCAAGUCAAACUAUGCGGCAAAUUCCUCCAGCUUGGUAAGGACUCCAGAACAGUGACGUCGUGAGUAGGAUAGGGUUGAAAAAAUUAGGUUAGAAGAAUUUUAGGUUAAAAUGGAUGAUUUGUGUAUAGAUGAAAGAAUUAAUAAAUUGGAUGAAGAUUUAGUCAA